rnacentral:rRNA from 1 species
GACGAACGCUGGCGGCGCGCUUAACACAUGCAAGUCGAACGGAAAGGCCUGCUUUCCCUUGUGGAUUGCGGGUACUCGAGUGGCGAACGGGUGAGUAACACGUGAGUGAUCUGCCCCCAACUUGGGUAUAAGCCUGGGAAACUGGGUCUAAUUCCCGAUAGGACUGCAGGGUGGUGCCUGUGGUGGAAAACGAUUUUCUAGUGGUUGGGGAUGAGCUCGCGGCCUAUCAGCUUGUUGGUGGGGUAAUGGCCUACCAAGGCGGCGACGGGUAGCCGGCCUGAGAGGGUGGACGGCCAAAUUGGGACUGAGAUACGGCCCAGACUCCUACGGGAGGCAGCAGUGGGGAAUAUAGCACAAUGGGCGGAAGCCUGAUGCAGCGACGCCGCGUGGGGGAUGACGGCCUUCGGGUUGUAAACUCCUUUCGACCGCGAGGAAGCCACCUGGUUGGAAGGGUGGUGACGGUAGUGGUAGAAGAAGCACCGGCUAACUACGU